rnacentral:lncRNA from 1 species
CAUGUCAUGUAGCCUUUGGAAAAUUCCAUAGUACCUUUGUAAGAGAAUGAGAGUGAAAAAGGUAAUAUCUUUUUAUCAUGAAAAUAAUAAAAUAAUUCCAUGAGACUCCUUUCUCCCCAUGGUUGCCCCAAGGUUCCCUGAAACACUUUGAGAACUGUUAAGUAGACUAUUUCAUGUCAGGAAUGGCAGAGCGGAUGGUGUUGAAAGUUGGCUUAGGGAACUAAUGUGACAACAGAGGCUGAAUCUUCCCAUUUCUUAGUACACAUUGGCUUUGAUUGAGUCUGAAGUCAUGGCAAUAUUACAUUUUUAAUCAUUAUUUUGCCAUAGAAUAUAUUGGAUUUCUUGGCAGUGCUGGAUUCUUUAACAAAAACUCCUUUAUCUGCCUGAACUCUGCCGAAAACUAUGUGUUUCAAUGUUGUUGUUUGUUACUGUGAAGUUGCUGAAAUGUAAUUAGGGACCCUCUCUCACUUGAACGAUUGGCAUGAUUUUGUGUGAAGUUUGCAAAAUCUUACAUGAAAUACUUGUGCUCAGAAUACUUACUUCUAAGUGCUGGCAACAUGGUAGAGUUUGGGCCAGAGUUACUGACUAUCAGAGCCACAAAUUUACUUCAAAUAACCUUUUGUUCCUCUUUCCAUCACCCCAUAAACCGAUUAUCAAGACAAAUACUGAGCUAAUGAAAUGCUUCUUUGCCACAAACUUUUUUGCAAUAUCCUGCUAAAUUUAGACAAUUAAUAGCUAAAGACAUUCUUCAUUUGUUUACUACAUCCACUCCUUCAUUCACUUACUCAAUAAUAUAUAUUGAAUGCCUAUUACCAGAAAACUGCAUAUUACCUGUCAGUCCUGCAAUUGCCUGGGGAAAAUGCUGAAAUUUAUAUAUAAAUCUGAAGAUCUUCCACAUGGCAUAUUUGGAAUAUCCUAGUUAUUAAGAACAGAUUAUGGCUAGGUGUGGAGGCCCAGACCUGUAAUCCUAGCAACUAAGGCAGGAAGAUCGCAAAUUUGAGGCCAGCCUCAACAAUUUAGCAAGGCCCUAAGCAACUUAGUGAAACCCUGUCUCAAAAUAAAUAAAUAAAUAAAAAAGGCUGGGAUGUGACUCAGUGGUUAAGCGCCACUGAGUUCAAUCCCUGGCACCAAAAAUGAACGUGUAGCUCAGUGGUAGAGUGCAUGCCUAGCAUUCAUGAGGCCCUGCCUUGGUUCAAUCCUUAGCGCUGCAAGAAAAUUUUUAAAUAAACAAAAUGCCACUCUCAGUUCUUUGCUGUUGUUUGGGGAUGGGGCACACUGAGUGGAGGAGAGACUUUUCUUUUAGAAUUCCUUGAGGAAAGUAGUUGAAAUCUCCUAAAACUCAGCAGGAUUUCUGGGUUAUCUCUAUCUUGCUCAUCUCUAUUCAGAUCCCAUCUGAGCCCAUUCUGUCAGUUUCUCCCUGAAUCAUGUGACAGGAAGGGUUUCAUAAGGACAUGCAUUUUUUGCCAGGCAUGGUGGCACACACCAUGUGGUAAUCCACUUGUAAUCCCAGUGACCAGGAAAGCUGAGGCAGGAGGGUCAUAAAUUCAAGGCCUGCCUCAGCAACUUAGUGAAGCCCUAAGCAACUUAGCAAGACCCUGUAUCAAAUUAAAAAAAAUAAAGACUGGGGAUAUGGCUCAGUGAUAAAGCACCCCUGGGUUCAAUCCCCAGUGCCAAAAAAAAA